UCCUUAGGUGAGUAGCAGCUUUCUCCA
rnacentral:piRNA from 1 species